UCCCUCGAGCCGGAUUUGAACCAGCGACCUAAGGAUCACCGUUGUAAUCGGUGUGUACAGUCCUCCGCUCUGCCAACUGAGCUAUCGAGGG